GACGAACGCUGGCGGCGUGCCUAAUACAUGCAAGUAGAACGCUGAAGGAGGAGCUUGCUUCUCUGGAUGAGUUGCGAACGGGUGAGUAACGCGUAGGUAACCUGCCUGGUAGCGGGGGAUAACUAUUGGAAACGAUAGCUAAUACCGCAUAAUAGUAGAUGUUGCAUGACAUUUGCUUAAAAGGUGCAAUUGCAUCACUACCAGAUGGACCUGCGUUGUAUUAGCUAGUUGGUGAGGUAACGGCUCACCAAGGCGACGAUACAUAGCCGACCUGAGAGGGUGAUCGGCCACACUGGGACUGAGACACGGCCCAGACUCCUACGGGAGGCAGCAGUAGGGAAUCUUCGGCAAUGGACGGAAGUCUGACCGAGCAACGCCGCGUGAGUGAAGAAGGGUUUCGGAUCGUAAAGCUCUGUUGUAAGAGAAGAACGAGUGUGAGAGUGGAAAGUUCACACUGUGACGGUAGCUUACCAGAAAGAGACGGCUAACUACGUG
rnacentral:rRNA from 1 species